GCCCUCCCUCCCUCCCUUCCAUGCUGUUUGGGAAUGGGGUACCUGCCAUUUAGUAGGCCAGGCCCAGGAACAUUAAGCACCAUGGAGUCCCUGUGAAAGUACCUCCACAGUGGAAAGUACUUCCCGAAUAGCGGCAGCCUCUGUCCAGGAUGAAGUGAAAGAGUUGAUAGAAGCAGAUGCUUUUGCAAGACUACAUACUACACUUCUGAGAUUGGCAAACCUGACUAACUUCUCUGGGCCAUGGUCUUCCAAACCUAUAACUGGAAAGAGAUUAUCGAAUCAGGCAGGGUCUUGUAAUCAUGGACCUACCAUAAAGUACCAAGUUCAGAAGUCUCUCCAGGGCUCUCUUUGAAAGCCCCCAUUGAAAGUUGUAGUACUGUGUCCUGUCUCCUAAAGCCAGGUGUACUCCGGCCACCUGCUGCUGUGCCCCCAGCUACCCCUGGAAACCCAGGAAGCACAGGCACGAGAAGAACAAAACUAGCUCUUCCUGUGGAAACUGAGCUCUUGGGAAAAACUAAAAGAGAAUGUUAAAAAGAGUGAAAUUAACAUUUUGGAAAUAUAAUAGAUUAGCAGUGAAGAUUGAAAGUUUUGUUGUUGUUUUUUUUUUUUUUUAAAAAGAGUAUCUUUAAAUUCAGAUAAUACUCUUUUAAAAGAACAAAACAAACCCUGAACUGAAAAUUAAAGAAUUUGCAUUAUAGCUAUGUUUUAAUCCAAGAAAUAAAAGCUAUUUGAAUCUGUAAAGCCAUGUGUAAAAUCCAUUCCCUGAUUAAACUGAGCCUAUAAGUUGUGUAUUUCAACAAAAAGAUAGAAGAUGUGUGUGUGUGCGUGUGUGUAUGUGUUUCCUUAAUGUGACAAUUAUUGCUAGUUAUCCCUGCUUCUAUAAUUCUAUUCUUAGGAUUAUAUCUUUCAGUUAUAUCCUUGUUUGUUUUCCAAAAGAAAAACAAACAAAAAAUAAAACCAACAAAGAAACCUGACCUGCAGUUGCUGCCUGGCGUGUAACCUAAGAACAAGGACCACAUUUCCUAGCCCUCAUUUAUUUCUCCCAGGAUUUGCCCUUUAGUUAGGUUCUAGCCAGAAGGGUAGAAGUGAAAGCUACACUUAAGACUUCCCUAGGUUCCAGGGAAAGCAAGCUAGCUACCCUUUUCUCUCCCUUCUUCCUCCCGCCCACUAGAACAUGGGUGGGAUAGUUGGAGCUUAAGUAGCUACAAGGAAGUAGAAGCCCAGAGCUGGAAACAGAAAAGCGUGGAGCAUGUUUGUGAGGACCAGAAAGACGCCAUAUUAACCGUAGACUACAUAUCUCUAGCCUACGUUUACUUGGGGGAGAAAUGAGUUUCCAUUUUGUUGAAGUCACUAUGAUUUUUGGUUUUACUUGUUUAUAGCUAAAUUUCAUUCCAGCUGGAUUCUUAGAAAUUAACAAACCAACUGCAGAUGCUGAUUAUGCUAGACAAAGACUCCCUCGUAGCAGAUACUGCCUGAGGGUUAAGAACUAAAUUCCAUUGCUUCAACAGAGUGGCCAUAACUGUCUUUUCUUUUUAAGAACAUUUUUAUUUACUUUUGUUUUCUGUGUAUGUUUUGCCUGCAUACAUGUUGCUGUACUACAUGUUUGCAGUGCCUGAAGAGGUCAGAAGACGACAUCAGAUCUUCCAGACACUGGUGUGACAGAGAGUUGUGAGCUUCCGUGUGCUAGUUGAGAAUUGAACCCAGACCCACAGAAAAAGCAGUUGAAAGCUUUGCAAAAGGAGUUGAUAGCUCCUAUCCACUGAGCUAUCUCGGCAGCCCAGAACUGUCUUUUCUAGCUGUAUCUGCUAUGUGUUUGUAGUGCUUGGAAAUUUAAAAUCAACCUUCUUUUUUCUUAUUUUAUAUUUUUCAUACAUUAAAAAAUAUUUUUUAACUGAAAUAGAAUUAUACUCCUUUCUUUUCCCUUCUUCGCCCCCCCCCCUUUGGAGACAAUCACUGUACCCUUCCAUGCUACCCCUCAAGUUGAUAGCACAUUUUCUUUUUGUUAUUAUUGUAACACGCACAUGUAUGCAUACACACAAACACAUACACUCACACACACAUAUGAAUGCACAAAUACAUAAUUUGGAAACCUUGGCUGAGGACAAAUAUGCUGUUGCACAUAAUGCUUGAGUUAGAAUGAUGUCAUCAGAACCCUUAGCUUUCAUAUGUUGCUAGAGGAAAUUUAAUAAACUUGGAUAUAUCGGGCAUUAGAAGAUGACUUAUUUUCAUACUCAGUUUCUCCAUGAAUAUGGGCCCUUAUCUAUCAAAGAAUAACCUGAACCAUCUUAGGAAUGCCAUCCUGUAUCACAGACCUCCAUCAUCUGAGGAAGUGCAUAUGGCAUCUUAGAAUGCAUUUGGGACUGCUUAUUUUAGGAUUAAAGGGUAUAGAACUAAGAAACACUAUGAAUCCCUCGGAUAGUCCCUAUUGCGUUACCAGCCAGCUAAGCAGAGGGAUCAAGUUCAUGUUACGUAUGCAGAGAAGAAUGCCUGAGAGCUACUGUAUGAGCAUGUGUGAGGGUGAAACCCCAUCGCCUUGUGUGUGUGCAACAGGGCGUGUGCCUUUUAACCUCUUAAUUCAAUAAUCAUUAGCCAGAAAAUCUCCUUGCUGGGAAGUCAGCCUUAUUGCUUGUGACCCAAGAUAAUGUGUGUGUGAAAAUCUUUAAGGUUUCUCUUUCUGGUGGUUAUUAUCAGCCACUUUCUUCAAGAAGAGUGUCAAAUUUGUAAUAAAAACUUGAGAAAACAGGACUAGAAAGAUGACUUAGGGUAAAACCCUCUACCAGAGGAUUCGAUUCCUAUCACCCACAUAGCUGCUUAAACUGUUUGCCACUCAAGUUCCAGGGGGUCUGUACUUCUGACUUCCAAUAGCAUCAGGCACAUGCAUAGUCCACAGAUAUACAUGCAGUCAAAGCACCUGUACUGGCUAGUUUUGUGUCAACUUGACACAGGCUGGAGUUAUCACAGAGAAAGGAGCUUCAGUUGAGGAAAUGCCUCCAUGAAAUCCAACUGUAAGGCAUUUUCUCAAUUAGUGAUCAAGGGGCAAAGGCCUCUUUUGGGUGGGACCAUCUCUGGGCUGGUAGUCUUGGUUCUAUAAGAGAGCAGGCUGAGCAAGCCAGGGGAAGCAAGCCAGUAAAGAACAUCCCUCUAUGGCUUCUGCAUCAGCUCCUGCUUUCUGACCUGCUUGAGUUCCAGUCCUAAUUUCCUUUGGUGAUGAACAACAACGUGGAAGUGUAGGCUGAAUAAACCCUUUCCUCCCCAACUGCUUUUUGGUCAUGAUGUUUGUGCAGGAAUUAAAACCCUGACUAAGACAGCACCCAUAC
rnacentral:lncRNA from 1 species